GUGGGGAAUAUUGGGCAAUGGGCGCAAGCCUGACCCAGCAACGCCGCGUGAAGGAAGAAGGCUUUCGGGUUGUAAACUUCUUUUAUGAGGGACGAAUAGAUGACGGUACCUCAUGAAUAAGCCACGGCUAACUACGUGCCAGCAGCCGCGGUAAUACGUAGGUGGCAAGCGUUAUCCGGAUUUACUGGGUGUAAAGGGCGUGUAGGCGGGACUGCAAGUCAGAUGUGAAAUUCCAGGGCUCAACCCUGGACCUGCAUUUGAAACUGUGGUUCUUGAGUGAUGGAGAGGCAGGCGGAAUUCCCUGUGUAGCGGUGAAAUGCGUAGAUAUAGGGAGGAACACCAGUGGCGAAGGCGGCCUGCUGGACAUUAACUGACGCUGAGGCGCGAAAGCGUGGGGAGCAAACAGGAUUAGAAACCCGUGUAGUCC
rnacentral:rRNA from 1 species